rnacentral:rRNA from 1 species
UGAGUACGAGACGCUAAGGCGUCGAAGUAGUGGAUGUCAUACUUCCAAGAAAAGCUUGCACUGUCAUAAGUAAAAAACGCCUGUACCAUAACCGACACAGGUGGGUAGGUAGAGUAUACUAAGGGGCGCGAGAUAACUCUCUCUAAGGAACUCGGCAAAAUAACUCCGUAACUUCGGGAGAAGGAGUGCCUUAUUCGUAAGGCUGCAAUAACAAGAUCCAAGCAACUGUUUAUCAAAAACACAGGUCUCCGCUAAGUCGUAAGACGAUGUAUGGGGGCUGACGCCUGCCCAGUGCCAGAAGGUUAAAGAAGUCGGUUAGCAUUAGCGAAGCUGGUAACUGAAGCCCUGGUGAACGGCGGCCGUAACUAUAACGGUCCUAAGGUAGCGAAAUUCCUUGUCGGGUAAGUUCCGACCCGCACGAAAGGCGUAAUGAUUUGGAUACUGUCUCGGAGAGGGGCUCGGUGAAAUAGACUUGUCUGUGAAGAUGCGGACUACCUGCACCAGGACAGAAAGACCCUAUGAAGCUUUACUGUAACUUGAAAUUGAAAUUGGACUUUAUUCGCGCAGUAUAGGUGGGAGGUGUUGAUUAUAAUCUUGCGGGAUUAUUGGAGCCAUCAGUGAGAUACCACUCUUGUAAUGUUAGAUUUCUAACUUUGAAUCAUUAUCUGGUCAAAGAACAGUUUCAGGCGGGCAGUUUGACUGGGGCGGUCGCCUCCUAAAUGGUAACGGAGGCGUACAAAGGUUUCCUCUGAACGGGUAGAAAUCGUAUCUAGAGUGUAAAGGCAUAAGGAAGCUUGACUGUGAGACCUACAAGUCGAGCAGGGACGAAAGUCGGUCUUAGUGAUCUGACGGUACUGAGUGGAAAGGCCGUCACUCAACGGAUAAAAGUUACUCUAGGAUAACAGGCUGAUCUCCCCCAAGAGUUCACAUCGACGGGGAGGUUUGGCACCUUGAUGUCGGCUCAUCGCAUCCUGGGGCGGUGGUACGUCCCAAGGGUUGGGCUGUUCGCCCAUGAAAGCGGUACGCGAGCUGGGUUCAGAACGUCGUGAGACAGUUCGGUCCAUAUCCGGUGUAGGCGUUAGAAUAUUGAGAGGAGCCUUCUUUAGUACGAGAGGACCGAGAAGGACAUACCUCUGGUGUACCAGUUAUCGUGCCAACGGUAAACGCUGGGUAGCUAUGUAUGGAGUGGAUAACCGCUGAAAGCAUCUAAGUGGGAAGCCCACCUCAAGAUAAGUAUUCUCAUC